ensembl:lncRNA
GGUUAGUGAGAGUUUGGAGAGAGUUUGGAGGUUUAGGAGAGUGAGGAGAGAAAGUCAGGAGAGGAUGGAGCCAGCUAAGAAGAGGAGGAUGUCCUCCCCUGUGUGGGAACAUUUUGAUCUUAUUCCUCCCAACAAGGUGAAGUGUUUGCUAUGUGCCAGGGAGCUGGGAUAUAACAACAACACCUCAUCCAUGCUCAGGCACUACAGAGCUUUGCAUGAGAAUAAGGGGAACACUGAUUGUGGAGCAAGACCAGGUGAGCCAUCAAAUGCCAUGAUAAUAUAGCAUGCAGUAAUCUUACUAAAUGAUAGAACAAUAUUAUACAACUGUAAUAAGUUAUGUGUGUGAUAUUUAUAUUUGUGCUUUGUUUUUAUUGUCUUUCCUCAGGAGAACAAUCUCAAAUAGAUGAAACCCUGGUUAACAUGGUGACUGAGGACUCCCAGCCAUUUAGCAUUGUGGAGGACAAAGGAUUUAAAAGAUUUAUUAAAUCAGUAAAUCCUAGCUAUGUUCUCCCCACUAAAAAGGUCAUAAAAGCAGUGACAAUGUAGUUUUUACAGAAUAAAAUGUGAACAGGCAGGACUGAGGCUCAACGCCUCAGUUUGAAGAGUGUGGCAUUUUGCACACAGCCUGUAAAUGUCAACAACAAAAGGAGUAUGUAAAACAUGUAUAUUGUAGUGAUGACAGUAUACUGUGUAUAUUUAUACUGGCAGGCUCAAAGCCUCAGUGUGUAGC